ACAGGUAACACACACAGGUACAGACAGGUAACACACACAGGUACCCGUCCUGGAUCCCGAUGAGCUGGGGACAGGUAACACAGGUAACACAGGUGAGAGACAGGUAACACAGGUGAGAGACAGGUAACACACACAGGUACCCGUCCUGGAUCCCGAUGAGCUACAGGUGAGACAGGUGAGAGACAGUGAGAGACAGGUGAGACAGGUGAGACAGGUGAGAUACAGGUAACACACACAGGUACCCGUCCUGGAUCCCGAUGAGCUACAGGUGAGAGACAGGUGAGAGACAGGUAUGGACAGGUGAGAGACAGGUACGGACAGGUAACACACACACAGGUACCCGUCCUGGAUCCCGAUGAGCUGUGGGACAGGUAACACAGGUGAGAGACAGGUGAGAGACAGGUGAGAUACAGGUAACACACACAGGUACCCGUCCUGGAUCCCGAUGAGCUACAGGUGAGACAGGUGAGAGACAGGUGAGAGACAGGUACGGACAGGUAACACACACAGGUACCCGUCCUGGAUCCCGAUGAGCUAAACAGGUAACACAGGUGAGAGACAAGUGAGAGACAG